UACGAAGGGGGCUAGCGUUGUUCGGAUUUACUGGGCGUAAAGCGCGCGUAGGCGGAUUCUUAAGUCAGGGGUGAAAUCCCGGGGCUCAACCUCGGAACUGCCCUUGAUACUGGGAAUCUCGAGUUCGGGAGAGGUGAGUGGAACUGCGAGUGUAGAGGUGAAAUUCGUAGAUAUUCGCAAGAACACCAGUGGCGAAGGCGGCUCACUGGCCCGGUACUGACGCUGAGGUGCGAAAGCGUGGGGAGCAAACAGG
rnacentral:rRNA from 1 species